AACGAACGCUGGCGGCAUGCUUAACACAUGCAAGUCGAACGAGACCUUCGGGUCUAGUGGCGAACGGGUGCGUAACGCGUGGGAACCUGCCCUUAGGUUCGGAAUAACUCCCCGAAAGGGGUGCUAAUACCGGAUUAUGUUAUCGGACCAAAGACUUAUCGCUUUUGGCUGUGGCAGGGUUCGAUUAGGUAGUUGGUAGGGUAAAGGCCUUCCAAGGACAAGACCGAUAGCUGGUCCGAGAGGUUGGUCAGCAACACUGGAACUGGGACCCGGCCCAGACCCCUACCCCCAGCGGAAGGAGGGAAUGUUGAAAAUUGGGCAAAAGCCUGAAGCAGCGCCAACCAGUGCGGGGUGACGGACUAAGGCUUGGGGAUUGUAAGCUCUUUGACCCGAGAUGAUAAUGACAGUACCGGGAGAAUAAGCUCCGGCUAACUCCGUG
rnacentral:rRNA from 1 species